rnacentral:rRNA from 1 species
UACAGGGAAUGCAAGCGUUAUCCGGAUUCAUUGGGCGUAAAGGGUCCUGAGGUGGUCUGCUUAGUCUACUGUGAAAGCUCAGGGCUUAACCCUGACAAUGCGGUGGAAACUAGUAGGCUAGAAUACGGUAGGGGCAAGGGGAAUUCCCAGUGUAGCGGUGAAAUGCAUAGAUAUUGGGAAGAACACCAAAGGCGAAGGCACCUUGCUGGGCCGAUAUUGACACUGACAGACGAAAGCUAGGGGAGCGAAUGGG